GCCCAGACUCCUACGGGAGGCAGCAGUGGGGAAUAUUGCACAAUGGGGGAAACCCUGAUGCAGCGACGCCGCGUGAGCGAUGAAGUAUUUCGGUAUGUAAAGCUCUAUCAGCAGGGAAGAAAAUGACGGUACCUGACUAAGAAGCCCCGGCUAACUACGUGCCAGCAGCCGCGGUAAUACGUAGGGGGCAAGCGUUAUCCGGAUUUACUGGGUGUAAAGGGAGCGUAGACGGCUGUGCAAGCCAGAUGUGAAAGCCCGGGGCUCAACCCCGGGACUGCAUUUGGAACUGUGUGGCUGGAGUGUCGGAGAGGCAGGCGGAAUUCCUAGUGUAGCGGUGAAAUGCGUAGAUAUUAGGAGGAACACCAGUGGCGAAGGCGGCCUGCUGGACGAUGACUGACGUUGAGGCUCGAAAGCGUGGGGAGCAAACAGGAUUAGAUACCCUCGUA
rnacentral:rRNA from 1 species